GCCUGGGUGGCUCAGUCAGUUAAGCAUCUGACUUUGACUCAGGUCAUGAUCUCAUGGUUUGUGGGAUCAAGCCCUGCAUCAGGCU
rnacentral:tRNA from 1 species